rnacentral:rRNA from 1 species
GAUGAACGCUGGCGGCGUGCUUAAUACAUGCAAGUCGAACGGACAGGCGCUGCUUUUGUGGGGUGCUCGUGUGGCGAACGGGUGAGUAUCACGUGUGUAAACUCUCCUUGUCUUUGGGAUAACUCUUGGGAACUGGGGCUAAUACCCGAUAGAAUCUCUUGCUCCAUGGUGGGCGUUGGAAAGUUACGGCGGUUCUGGCUGUUAUCGAGGCUUCUGCGCUUGUUUGUGGGGUAGGUGCUUACCAAGGCUUUGACGGGUACCCGGCCUGAGAGGGUGGCCAGCGACAUUGGGACUGAGAUACGGACCAGAAUGCAACGGGAGGCAGCAGUGGGGAGUAUUGCACAGUGGGCGGAAGCGUGAUGCAGCAGCGCUGCGUGCGGGAUGACGGGCUUCGGGUUGUAAACCGCUUUCGCCUGUGACGAAGCGUGAGUGACGGUAAUGGGUAAAGAAGCACCGGCUAACUACGUG